rnacentral:rRNA from 1 species
GACGAACGCUGGCGGCGUGCCUAAUACAUGCAAGUAGAACGCGCAGGAUGCACCGUAGUUUACUACACCGUAUUCUGUGAGUUGCGAACGGGUGAGUAACGCGUAGGUAACCUGCCUGGUAGCGGGGGAUAACUAUUGGAAACGAUAGCUAAUACCGCAUAAGAACAUUUACUGCAUGGUAGAUGUUUAAAAGGUGCAAGAGCAUCACUACCAGAUGGACCUGCGUUGUAUUAGCUAGUUGGUGAGGUAACGGCUCACCAAGGCAACGAUACAUAGCCGACCUGAGAGGGUGAUCGGCCACACUGGGACUGAGACACGGCCCAGACUCCUACGGGAGGCAGCAGUAGGGAAUCUUCGGCAAUGGGGGGAACCCUGACCGAGCAACGCCGCGUGAGUGAAGAAGGUUUUCGGAUCGUAAAGCUCUGUUGUUAAGGAAGAACGUGUGUGAGAGUGGAAAGUUCACACAGUGACGGUACUUAACCAGAAAGGGACGGCUAACUACGUGCCAGCAGCCGCGGUAAUACGUAGGUCCCGAGCGUUGUCCGGAUUUAUUGGGCGUAAAGCGAGCGCAGGCGGUUAGAUAAGUCUGAAGUGAAAGGCAGUGGCUCAACCAUUGUAGGCUUUGGAAACUGUUUAACUUGAGUGCAGAAGGGGAGAGUGGAAUUCCAUGUGUAGCGGUGAAAUGCGUAGAUAUAUGGAGGAACACCGGUGGCGAAAGCGGCUCUCUGGUCUGUAACUGACGCUGAGGCUCGAAAGCGUGGGGAGCGAACAGG